GAUGAACGCUGGCGGCGUGCUUAACACAUGCAAGUCGAACGGAAAGGCCCAAGCUUUCUUGGGUACUCGAGUGGCGCACGGGUGAGUAACACGUGGGUGAUCUGCCCUGCACUUCGGGAUAAGCCUGGGAAACUGGGUCUAAUACCGGAUAGGACCACUUCUUGGAUGUUGUGGUGGAAAGAUUUGUCGGUGUGGGAUGAGCUCGCGGGCUAUCAGCUUGUUGGUGGGGUAAUGGCCUGCCAAGGCGUCGACGGGGAGCCGGCCAGUGAGAGUGUACGGCGAUCUUGGGACUGAGAGACGGCACAGGCACGUACGGGAGGGAGAUGUGGGGAAGACUGAAGGAUGGGCGCAAGGCGGAUGCAGCGAGGCCUCGGGGGGGAUGACGGUCUUCGGGUUGAAGACUCAUUGUGCUAGGGACGAUGCGUUUUGUGACGGUACCUGGAGAAGAAGCACCGGCUAACUACGUG
rnacentral:rRNA from 1 species